rnacentral:rRNA from 1 species
AGCGAACGCUGGCGGCAGGCCUAACACAUGCAAGUCGAGCGGCCGUAGCAAUACGGCAGCGGCAGACGGGAGAGUAACACGUGGGAACGCGCCCUUCGGUUCGGGAUAACUCAGGGAAACUUGAGCUAAUACCGGAUACGCCCUUGCGGGGAAAGAUUUAUUGCCGAAGGAACGGCCCGCGUCCGAUUAGCUUGUUGGUGAGGUAACGGCUCACCAAGGCGACGAUCGGUAGCUGGUCUGAGAGGAUGACCAGCCUCACUGGGACUGAGACACGGCCCAGACUCCUACGGGAGGCAGCAGUGGGGAAUAUUGGACAAUGGGCGCAAGCCUGAUCCAGCCAUGCCGCGUGGGUGAUGAAGGCCCUAGGGUUGUAAAGCCCUUUCAGCGGGGAAGAUAAUGACGGUACCCGCAGAAGAAGCCCCGGCUAACUUCGUGCCAGCAGCCGCGGUAACAC